CGUCUCAGUUCAGAUUGCAGGCUGCAACUCGCCUGCAUGAAGUCGGAAUUGCUAGUAAUCGCAGAUCAGCAUGCUGCGGUGAAUACGUUCCCGGGCCUUGUACACACCGCCCGUCACACCAUGGGAGUCGGUAACACCCGAAGUCGGUAGCCUAACCGUAAGGAGGGCGCCGCCGAAGGCAGGCCUGGUGACUGGGGUGAAGUCGUAACAAGGUACC
rnacentral:rRNA from 1 species